rnacentral:lncRNA from 1 species
GGCGCGCAGGUCUCCUCCGCCUUCAGCAUGGCCCGCAGCACCCGGUCGUUGAGGAGGUUGGCAUCGGGGUACGCGCGGCGGAUGGUUUCCACUUCGCAGCACAGGAGCUGGUGUUCCAUGGCUGGGGCUCUUCCUGGGCAGCUGGGGAGGGCUGUGGGUCCUGGCUGGGUCCGCGCUCGGCUCUCGCUUCUGCUGCCCCGCGCUCCCUCGCGCUCUUCUGCCCCUCGCCGGAGCGUGCGGACUCUGCUGCUCGCUGCUACUGCGCCGACAGCCCUCUGGAGGCUCCAGGACUUUGCAACUUCAACAAAAC